rnacentral:rRNA from 1 species
UGAGGAAUAUUGGUCAAUGGGCGAGAGUCUGAACCAGCCAAGUAGCGUGCAGGAUGACGGCCCUAUGGGUUGUAAACUGCUUUUAUAAGGGAAUAAAGUGAGUCUCGUGAGACUUUUUGCAUGUACCUUAUGAAUAAGGACCGGCUAAUUCCGUGCCAGCAGCCGCGGUAAUACGGAAGGUCCGGGCGUUAUCCGGAUUUAUUGGGUUUAAAGGGAGCGUAGGCCGGAGAUUAAGCGUGUUGUGAAAUGUAGGCGCUCAACGUCUGCACUGCAGCGCGAACUGGUUUCCUUGAGUACGCACAAAGUGGGCGGAAUUCGUGGUGUAGCGGUGAAAUGCUUAGAUAUCACGAAGAACUCCGAUUGCGAAGGCAGCUCACUGGAGCGCAACUGACGCUGAAGCUCGAAAGUGCGGGUAUCGAACAGG